rnacentral:rRNA from 1 species
GACGAACGCUGGCGGCGUGCCUAAUACAUGCAAGUAGAACGCACAGUUUAUACCGUAGCUUGCUGCACCAUAGACUGUGAGUUGCGAACGGGUGAGUAACGCGUAGGUAACCUGCCUGGUAGCGGGGGAUAACUAUUGGAAACGAUAGCUAAUACCGCAUAAUAUUGAUUAUUGCAUGAUAAUUGAUUGAAAGAUGCUAUUGCAUCACUACCAGAUGGACCUGCGUUGUAUUAGCUAGUAGGUGAGGUAACGGCUCGCCUAGGCGACGAUACAUAGCCGACCUGAGAGGGUGAUCGGCCACACUGGGACUGAGACACGGCCCAGACUCCUACGGGAGGCAGCAGUAGGGAAUCUUCGGCAAUGGACGAAAGUCUGACCGAGCAACGCCGCGUGAGUGAAGAAGGUUUUCGGAUCGUAAAGCUCUGUUGUAAGAGAAGAACGGGUGUGAGAGUGGAAAGUUCACACUGUGACGGUAUCUUACCAGAAAGGGACGGCUAACUACGUG